CGUAUAUUAAAGUUGUUGCGGUUAAAAAGCUCGUAGUUGGAUUUCUGUUGAGAACAGGCGGUCCACCUCUUGGGUGAGUAUCUGCAUUGGUCUCGGCAUCCUCUCGAAACUCGUUGCUGCGCUUGAUUGCGUGGUGCGGUGUUCGGGACUUUUACUUUGAGGAAAUUAGAGUGUUCACGGCAGGCAUUCGCCUUGAAUAUAUUAGCAUGGAAUAAUACUAUAGGAUCUUGGUUCUAUUUUGUUGGUUUCUAGGGCUAAGAUAAUAAUCAAUAGGGACAAUUGGGGGCAUUCGUAUUACGGCGUCAGAGGUGAAAUUCUUGGAUUGCCGUACGACGAACUACUGCGAAAGCAUUUGCCAAGGAUGUUUUCAUUGAUCAAGAACGAAAGUAAGGGGAUCGAAGAUGAUUAGAUGCCGUCGUAGUCUCUACCAUAAACUAUGCCGACUAGGGAUGAGGCGUCGUUCUUCUAUGACUCGCUUCACACCUUAUGAGAAAUCAAAGUUUUUGGGUUCCGGGGGGAGUAUGGUCGCAAGGCUGAAACUUAAA
rnacentral:rRNA from 1 species